GUCCUACGGGAGGCAGCAGUAAGGAAUAUUGCUCAAUGGGGGAAACCCUGAAGCAGCAACGCCGUGUGAGGGAUGAAGGGCUUUUGCUUGUAAACCUCUGUAGUGAGGGAAAAAACUUCCGCUCUGCGGAAUAUGAUGGUACCUCAAAAGUAAGCCCCGGCUAACUACGUGC
rnacentral:rRNA from 1 species